GGAUGAACCUCUGGACCUACCCAACUCAUGGAAUAAAAUUUUCAAAAUUUCGUCCGAAUUUAUAAAUUUCGUUGGAAUAAAAUUUUCAAAAUUUCGUCCGAAAAUUUCGGCAGAAGUUCGGAUGAACCUCUGGACCUAAAUAAAUCAUGGAAUAAAAUUUUCAAAAUUUCGUGUUUAAUCUGGUAAGGCAUUUUAGUUGACGAUUUCUUCACUAAAGAUCUUUCUUGUUUCGUUCAAUGCUGUACGAGUUAAUAGCUAGUAUAUGUAGUGUCGAUACUAUCUCCUUACAUCGAACAAUUGCGUUUUCCGGUCACAUAUAUAAAAAAUUGGCCACUGUCAUGGAGUUUAAUUAACAUGUAGAACUCCAGUUAUAAGUAGAGCUUUUGUAAUUCAAAAAUAGCCAAUUGACAUGAUCUCAAAUUCCUUCCCGUACCAAAAAGUUUUAUCUAUGCAAUUUGAAAUUCUAAGACGAAUGGCUAUAUUUGUUAAUUCCUGAAUUUUAUUUGGAGCAACUUUGACUAACGC
rnacentral:lncRNA from 1 species